rnacentral:rRNA from 1 species
UUACCAUGCAAGUCGAACGGGAUCCAUCAGGCUUUGCUUGGGGUGAGAGUGGCGAACGGGUGAGUAAUGCGUGACCGACCUGCCCCAUACACCGGAAUAGCUCCUGGAAACGGGUGGUAAUGCCGGAUGCUCCAGUUGAUCGCAUGGUCUUCUGGGAAAGCUUUCGCGGUAUGGGAUGGGGUCGCGUCCUAUCAGCUUGACGGCGGGGUAACGGCCCACCGUGGCUUCGACGGGUAGCCGGCCUGAGAGGGCGACCGGCCACAUUGGGACUGAGAUACGGCCCAGACUCCUACGGGAGGCAGCAGUGGGGAAUAUUGCACAAUGGGCGCAAGCCUGAUGCAGCGACGCCGCGUGAGGGAUGGAGGCCUUCGGGUUGUAAACCUCUUUUAUCGGGGAGCAAGCGAGAGUGAGUUUACCCGUUGAAUAAGCACCGGCUAACUACGUGCCAGCAGCCGCGGUAAUACGUAGGGUGCAAGCGUUAUCCGGAAUUAUUGGGCGUAAAGGGCUCGUAGGCGGUUCGUCGCGUCCGGUGUGAAAGUCCAUCGCUUAACGGUGGAUCCGCGCCGGGUACGGGCGGGCUUGAGUGCGGUAGGGGAGACUGGAAUUCCCGGUGUAACGGUGGAAUGUGUAGAUAUCGGGAAGAACACCAAUGGCGAAGGCAGGUCUCUGGGCCGUUACUGACGCUGAGGAGCGAAAGCGUGGGGAGCGAACAGGAUUAGAUACCCUGGUAGUCCACGCCGUAAACGGUGGAUGCUGGAUGUGGGGCCCGUUCCACGGGUUCCGUGUCGGAGCUAACGCGUUAAGCAUCCCGCCUGGGGAGUACGGCCGCAAGGCUAAAACUCAAAGAAAUUGACGGGGGCCCGCACAAGCGGCGGAGCAUGCGGAUUAAUUCGAUGCAACGCGAAGAACCUUACCUGGGCUUGACAUGUUCCCGACGGUCGUAGAGAUACGGCUUCCCUUCGGGGCGGGUUCACAGGUGGUGCAUGGUCGUCGUCAGCUCGUGUCGUGAGAUGUUGGGUUAAGUCCCGCAACGAGCGCAACCCUCGCCCCGUGUUGCCAGCGGAUUAUGCCGGGAACUCACGGGGGACCGCCGGGGUUAACUCGGAGGAAGGUGGGGAUGACGUCAGAUCAUCAUGCCCCUUACGUCCAGGGCUUCACGCAUGCUACAAUGGCCGGUACAACGGGAUGCGACCCGG